rnacentral:tRNA from 1 species
GGGAAUGUAGCUCUGUGGUAGAGCACUUGCCCAGCAUGUGAGAGGCCCUGGGUUCAAUUCCCAGUAUCUUUC